UACGGAGGGUGCAAGCGUUAUCCGGAUUUACUGGGUUUAAAGGGUGCGUAGGUGGGUAGGAAAGUCAGUGGUGAAAUCUUCGGGCUUAACCCGGAAACUGCCAUUGAUACUAUUUAUCUUGAAUACUUUGGAGGUAAGCGGAAUAUGUCAUGUAGCGGUGAAAUGCUUAGAUAUGACAUAGAACACCAAUUGCGAAGGCAGCUUACUACACAGUUAUUGACACUGAGACGCGAAAGCGUGGGGAGCAAACAGG
rnacentral:rRNA from 1 species